rnacentral:rRNA from 1 species
CAGGCCUAACACAUGCAAGUCGAGCGGACCAUUCCUUCGGGGAUGGUUAGCGGCGGACGGGUGAGUAACACGUAGGCAACCUGCCUGUAAGAUCGGGAUAACUACCGGAAACGGUAGCUAAGACCGGAUAGCUGGUUUCUCCGCAUGGAGGGAUCAUGAAACAUGGGGCAACCUGUGGCUUACGGAUGGGCCUGCGGCGCAUUAGCUAGUUGGUGGGGUAAUGGCCCACCAAGGCGACGAUGCGUAGCCGACCUGAGAGGGUGAUCGGCCACACUGGGACUGAGACACGGCCCAGACUCCUACGGGAGGCAGCAGUAGGGAAUCUUCCGCAAUGGGCGCAAGCCUGACGGAGCAACGCCGCGUGAGUGAUGAAGGUUUUCGGAUCGUAAAGCUCUGUUGCCAAGGAAGAACGCCUCGGAGAGUAACUGCUCUGAGGGUGACGGUACUUGAGAAGAAAGCCCCGGCUAACUACGUGCCAGCAGCCGCGGUAAUACGUAGGGGGCAAGCGUUGUCCGGAAUUAUUGGGCGUAAAGCGCGCGCAGGCGGUCUUUUAAGUUUGGUGUUUAAGCCCGGGGCUCAACCCCGGUUCGCACUGAAAACUGGGAGACUUGAGUGCAGGAGAGGAAAGCGGAAUUCCACGUGUAGCGGUGAAAUGCGUAGAGAUGUGGAGGAACACCAGUGGCGAAGGCGGCUUUCUGAACUGUAACUGACGCUGAGGCGCGAAAGCGUGGGGAGCAAACAGGAUUAGAU